CGAAGCUAAGAACUUGUGACUUCUAACAGGACUCAAAGAACAUUGAACAAUGUCUAUUUCUCCCUCAGCAGCACUGGCGUCUUUGAUGGGUGUCCUUGAGUCUAAGUUCCCAAAGGAGAGCAUCCACGUCUUAUUAGAACUUAGUAUUUCUGCACCUGGUCGUUGGUCCACGGUUGAUAACCAAUAAAUGUCUGCCAGCUGAGCUGACUGAACUGAUUUCUCAUCGGUCAUCCUGAAUUGUGUAUAUCAACAAGGGAGACCCUGUGUAUAUUUCAGAAGUCAGGUUCCAGUGUAAAGGAUUCUAAAGAAAAACAAAGCAGUGCGUCAAGCACUUUGAACCCUGGUCUCCGUCCUCUGAGGCGUCUCUCUUUGCCGCAGUCGCAACAAGAUGAACAAGAAGGCCAGCAAGGCUGCUGUCGGUCAGACCAGCGCACCUGCCCUUCAGAAUGCUUGCAGCUGCCCGAGGUCCUGGAGGCAUGUGGGGACUCAAUCAGAUUGGCAGGAACUUCUUUGGAAAAGUUUUCUUGUUGUUCAGUCUCUAAGUCGUGUCCGACUCCUUGAGACCCCUUGGACUGCAACACGCCAGGCUUCCCUGUCCUUCACUGUCUCUCGGA